UUCUCUCUCUUACUUUACUCUUUUCUCCUUUCUUCUCUACCAAACCCUAGACUUUACUCUUUUCUCCUUUCUUCUCUACCAAACCCUACGAAAGAAGGUUUUCUCUCAACAUUUCUUCCCUUUCUUCCUUUCUCAAUCUCAUCACUUUCUAAUCUCCCUUUGGCUUCCAGUCAAAACCUUCAUAUUCCCCACCUUCACCAUCGCCGCCGUGAAAUCCGCCUUCUAGAGGCUCCGACUACUCCGAUACUGUCUCACCGUCGCUGCCGUCAAUGGGUCAUCUUCCAUCGCACUUAGGAAGGAAGAGCAAAAGGGAUAAAUGGCAAAGGCAAAAAGUCAUAGUAAUGGAGACUGCCUUAAAAGGAAGAAAAAUGAAUUUACUUAAGUUUGUCGUAGUACCCAUUUCCAAGUAUAGAGGAAAAGCACAGAUGCUUGGCUACGAAUGGGCUGGAAUAUUUAGAAAAGUCCUUGUGGAUUCUUCAUACAUGUGGUGGCCAGCAAAUUUGGUUCAAGUUUCUCUUUUCAGGGCAUUGCAUGAGAAAGAGAAGAGGCCAAGAGGAGGACAUACAAGGCUCCAAAUUCUGCUACCUGUUGGUGUUUAUUGAGCUGUGUUGCCUGCUGUUAGGGUGAGUGUGCAGUGACUACGAUAUGGAGUAGGUGCUACAGUUAUAAUAGGUAUGACUGAUUCAACAUAAGCAUUAAAAUUUAUAGUUAUGGGUAAGUUGUUCAAUCUGAACUAUUACAUUGGAACCUGGCUAGCUAGGAGCUAGUUAUAGGUGUUGUGGAAUAGAAAAAGAAAAGCAAGAUAGUUUGUUUUUGAGAUAAUCUUGCUACAUUUUUUCAUGCUUUUUUCUAUAAAUAUUUAUUCUAAGCAAGAUAGUUUGUUUUUGAGAUAAUCUUGAAUUAGUUUAUGGCUUUUGAUUGUGGAUAUUAAAUUCUAGAAAUGCUCAUCAAGUAAUCUGAGUGAUUUCUUUUGUUUAAUAUCUGGACCAAAGGAAAACAAACUGAGUGAUUUCUUUUAUUACAUAAAAACGAGAUUAAAGCUCAUAAUAGUACAAGAGAGUUAUACAUUGAGCAAAAAAACGUAAGGAUUAGUAGGCACACUCGGGCAUAUCAAUGUUAGUUUUGUGAGCAACCGAGUGAUUGUGCUUGAAAUGAGUGUUAGUUUGGAAGUGGUGUCCAAGUGUUAGUUUGGAAGUGCUGUUUUGUUUUAAAUAGAUGCAUUGAUGAAUUUAACUAGGUGAUUGUGCUUAUUCCAUGGGGGAAAUAGGGUUAGUUUUAGAACUUAUUUCGGUGCUCUAAAUUAGUAAAAAUAUUUCAAAUGAUUUUCUUGGAUGAUUUAUUGAAGUUAGUUAUAAAUAGGUUCAUUUGUUGAAUAAAAACUUAAAAAUGGCUGAAAAUUUUAUAAUGGUACAAAAAUCAUAUGAUGUUUGUGCCAUAUCAUCAAAUUGUGAGAAGUUAGGCGUUUUAGGGAUUUUUUUGUACGGAUGAUCUUUUUUUAGGGGUUCAAAUGCAAUUUGGUCUAAAAUUUAAAUUAAACAGAACAAUAACUGUUUGCUUAUGUCAAUUGUGUGUGAAAAUAUCAUUUUAUCACCUAUUAAAAAGUUCAAUAACCAAAUGAAAGUCGUCUUGCCACGUUGUUUGAACUCCCUUGCCAUAUUCUACUGUCUCUAUCGAGAUACAAGAAAUGGAUCUCAAGCUAGUAGGACGCUCACUCUUCUGUCUUGGGUUGGUGCUGUGAUUAGUAGCUGGUGCAAUUUCAUAACUGUCUUGUAUGUUGGUCAUUUUCUACUAGAGGAGGAUGAUAAGUUUCUAGAUAAGGUUUGAGCUACAGUUCAGGAAGAGGAAUGUCAAGCCCUUGCUGCAUUUGGUGCCUGUUUCCAAUAUUAAUAAUUGUUUGAAGAAGCAUUUUCGAGACCUUUAAAAUGUCGUGAUCUUUGAAUUUAUAUAAUUCUGUUUGGUUGCAGUUAAUUUUACAAGCGUGUUUUCAUUGUUGGUGGAAUCAGACUUGAAUAAUAUGGGAUUUAUGUGCUUUAAGAUAUGAAUGGGAUUUAUUGUUGCUUUAAGAUA